rnacentral:rRNA from 1 species
CCUACGGGAGGCAGCAGUGGGGAAUAUUGCACAAUGGGCGAAAGCCUGAUGCAGCAACGCCGCGUGAGGGAUGAAGGCCUUCGGGUUGUAAACCUCUUUUAGCAGGGAAGAAGCGAAAGUGACGGUACCUGCAGAAAAAGCACCGGCUAACUACGUGCCAGCAGCCGCGGUAAUACGUAGGGUGCAAGCGUUGUCCGGAAUUAUUGGGCGUAAAGAGCUCGUAGGCGGUUUGUCGCGUCUGCUGUGAAAACCUGAGGCUCAACCUCAGGCCUGCAGUGGGUACGGGCAAGCUAGAGUGCGGUAGGGGAGAUGGGAAUUCCUGGUGUAGCGGUGGAAUGCGCAGAUAUCAGGAGGAACACCGAUGGCGAAGGCACAUCUCUGGGCCGUAACUGACGCUGAGGAGCGAAAGCGUGGGGAGCGAACAGGAUUAGAUACCCUGGUAGUCCACGCCGUAAACGGUGGGUGCUAGUUGUGGGUUCCAUUCCACGGAAUCCGUGACGAAGUUAACACAUUAAGCACCCCGCCUGGGGAGUACGGUCGCAAGACUAAAACUCAAAGGAAUUGACGG